CAGAGGACAGAGAGGCUGACUGAUUUGCCCAAGGAUAUAGAGCUAGUAAGUUAAAAACCUAGUCUGUCAUUACAAAAUUUAGGAGUUUGCUCCCUAACAGUAGGGAAUAUCCGCUUUCACCGUGGAGAGAGAGCUGAAUUCAUAAAAACAAAGGGUGGAAGGGCGGUUACCAGAGUCUGCAGGAGCGGGGAGCACGGGGGCGGAGGGGGGGUAUGGUUUAAGGGUACAAGCUUGCAGCCAGGAAAUCGGUAAGUGGUGCCAUGCAGUGGGCAGUGUAGCAAUUCCAGACGACAAUACUGUGUUCUAAACUUCCAAGUUGCUAAGAGACCAGAUCUUAAUUGUUCUGAGCACACACAAAAGGUAAUUAAGUGACAUGCUAGAGAUGUUAGCUAAUGCCAGGGUGGUAAUCUCGUUACGAUGUAGCAGCCUAUGCAGCCUAUGAAACCAACAAGCCCCAUACACCUUGAACUUCUAUGAUGCUACGUGUAAAUUAUAUCUCAAUAAAAUACAAGUUGUAAAACAUAAAAAAAAAAAAAAGCUAUUGCCUAAGAUCCCCGUUUCUUCCCAAGGAUUUUAAAUCUAUUUUCGGUCUCUCGUACUCUGGUUCGCUGUUCAACCGUGGCAGUCACGUGAAGGCAUCUGGGUAAGAGUGUAAAGGGAAAGAUCUCGUCUGUACUCAGAUUUUAAGAGCUAGAGCAGUGUUAUAAGAGUGAUUUCAGCAUGUGUGCAGUCUUUCAGAAAGAACUUGGGCUUCUGCUGUGAAGGAAGUUAAAAUAAAAUCUUUAGGAAAUUAGUUUGCCCCGUGUCAUGUCUCAAAAAAUAACAGUCUUCGGCAAUAGCAAAGAUUUUGUUUUAAGGUCAGGGCAUUCAACUUUGGUGCUAUUUUUAGUGACUUUUCUACCUGAAACAUUCAAUGAAUUAUUCAUAGCUCCACGGAAGCGGCCGUGCCCUCUGUUGGUGUUUGAAAAUAACGACAGAUUCUAGAACGUUUGCUACAACUGAGGAUGUCGGCCGCAGACUCACCUUGGAGAUUUGGAAGGGAAGGACCAGAAGUCUUAGCACCAAACCAAAGCAGCCACAAAAAAGCCUGUUUUAGCAACAACCAGGGGCAUCGGAUUCAUUGGGCCAGCUAAGGUCUUCUGACACCAAGGGGAUCACCCAUUUUUACCAACCUACAGCUCUUAUUUUCUCUACAUUAAAUUAAAUCCAUCUUUGGUAGAGCUUCAUCUCCGGAUCUAGACGGAAUCUGUUUCAAAGUCUAAGUGUGCGACUUACUACUUACGGAAUGAAUAGCAAAGUCUAGGCUGCUGAGUCUCAGUAACUGUGUUCCUAUAUUGAAGAUACUUAAUGACCUCCUCUGUACAUUGGACUGGGAGUUUGAAAUCAAACAACUGUGGACAGAGCCAACAAUGUGGACCCAACCUCCUAAGAAAGAGAAGGACUUCCUCUGGUUAUAGAGGUUUUAAGAACAGCUAGACCCAGGAUUCUGAGAUUUGGAGUCUUUUCAAUAAUGGGAAGAAGGUGGCAGAGGACAAAACUAAGGCAUUGUUAUAAUGUUCAUCUUCAGAGACCUUACGGAUCAUUAAAAGUGCACAACACGGAGAUAGUAAGCCACACAGAAGAGCCUGAGCUUAGACGAUGGGUGAACAAUGGGAAAUCCGGGCAGCGUCUGCCUGAGCUUGGCAAGGAGACCCCACAAGGAAGUCAUUCUCUCCUCAGUGUGCCGACAACAGCAUCCAUCCGACUCAGAGGCUGUGAGCUGUUCACCGUCCUUGUAAGACGUGGGCCUGGAGAUACAGCUGGAGUUCUUGUCAUUGUGGAAUUCAGCCAGAUCAGAAAUCGGGUCAGGAUGUCUUCUCAUGCCAUUCCUAUUCAAUAUCAAACAGGAAGACCUAACCAGUACGACAAGGAAAGAACGAGAAAUACAGAGUAGAAAGAGUUUAUCAUUAACAUCUUGUGAAGUUCACUGGAAGACGAUGAGACUGGCUCUGCUAUGUCUGGGAAUGGCGAGGCAUCCAAAUGCUGAUCACCGCAUGCAAUUAAGUAGAAUGGCUGAAGAUCUGCAGGAUGUCCUUGGACAUUUGGAGCACGGAGAGUAUUUUCGGUCAAUUCUAUUUAGAGAAAAUCGGAUGCUUAAUGACUGUGGUUUAGAGGUCCACAAUAAGACUAAUGGACUGAAAACCCAAGAGAAGUGCUCGUGGCAGGAAGAGCAUCAAGAAGAUAUAAAGUUAUGGAAAAUAAAUGACGAUCCAUGUUACCACCAAUAGGCCCUCCUGUGAACCCAACCACCUGUGCAAGGUCAUUACUGCAACAGAGAAUCAAGUCUGCUCCAGAGAGAAGAAGUGAGAGAGUGAAUACACACCUUGGAAGUGUCAGUGAUUAAUGCUCUCAACUGCACUGUGUCCCCUGAAGAGCCAAGUGAAUGAGGAAGCAAGAUCAUCAACUGAGAGUUUAAAAACUGCUGCAAACCUUAAAUUGUUCUUAAAAAAAAUAAAGUAAAAAAAAAAAGUGAAUCUUCAUUUACGCCUCUCAUCAUAUACCAAAAUGCACUCAAAAUGGAUUACAGAUUUGAAUAUAAAACCUGUGGAAGAAAAAUAUAGGACAACGUCUGCAGCACCUAGGAUUUGGGGGAGAUUGUUAGUCACGAUACCAAAAUCACGAUUUAUUAAAUUAGAAAAAGUCAGUGAAUUGGACUUUAUCAAAAUCAAAUACUUUUGUCCAGGGAAAGACACUGUUCAAAUGAUGAAGACAAUGUAUAGACUGAAGAAAAUAUUUGCAAACUACACAUGGGACAAAGGACUAGUAGCCAGAAUGUAAAGAACCCUCACAAUCAGUAAAAAAAACCCAAACAAUCCAAUGGGAACAUGGGUAAAUAAGGGAGAGAAAUUCACAGAAGAGAAUAAACUGAUGGAAAAUAAGCACAUGACAGGCUGAUCACCACUCUCAGGGAAAUGUCUUGCUUCUCUACUGCCAGUCUGUGAGAAAGUGCUUGUGGCUUUCCAUCACCAUUUAGAUUAUUCCAAGAACCAUCAUUUAGACCAGUGGGUUGAGAAAAAUCACUACUCGUCUCCAAUAGAGUGGGGUUGGGAGUGCUAGGUUGGAGGAAAAAAGACAAAAGUAAUCAGAACCAGUGAAAUGGAAUUGCUAGAAAAAGACAGAUGGAAAAUGUAAUUUAAAAAAAAUAAGUAAGUGCAUCCAUGGGAAUUCAAGUUGCGCAGCAAAGAGACUUUCUUACACUCUAAGACGUGGUUUCACAAUUAAGCAGUUCUUAGACUAACUGAAGAACAGGCUAGCCAUUGUGGAGACCUCAGUUAGUGGUCUGAGUGAUCAAGCCAGAAAUCUCUCAAUACAUUGAGUAAGAUAUGAAGGAACUGAAAAUCACAAGGGAGAAGAGAAGAGCCCCAGAAGACCGAGUUUCUCAUAUUAAAUAUAUGCAUUUCAGAAGUAGAAGACAGAACAAACAGAGUAGAGACAAUAAUUAAGCAGAUAAUAGAGGAGCAUUAACUCUGAAGAAGAAAGGUCAGAAUCUUUAGACUGAAACUGCUCAGAGUUCUAGGCUAGGUUAGUCAGAAAAAAAAUCCAUAAAAGGCAUCCCUCUUAGGCAUACUUGGUAAAAUCCAUAGUCUCUAAGGAUAUAAAUACAUAAGCUUCCAGGUCAAAAGAGUAAAAGAAACAUAAAACCCGACUGCUGUCAGAUUCUUCGAUUGCAAAAAUUUGCAUUUAGAAGUCAGAGGAAAGAAGUCAAUAUAUUGGUUACCACUGAGAUAAGAGAGAACCUUCCAGGGUUCUAGAAAUAUUCUAUAUCUUGAAAUGAGUGGUAACUACAGAGGUAUAAAUAUAUGGUGAUGUUUGUUAAGCUAUAUGCUUAAUAUUAAUGCCCCUUAUGCAACCUACAGUAUGUUAUACUUCAAUAAAAUGUUUUUAUUAUAAAAAAGUCCGAGGAAAGAUAUUGAUACAUCAUUUAAAAAAUGACUAUGACAAGAGAGUUCUAAAUUUAGAAAGAUAUUAUUUGACAAGUAUAUCUCCAUGUUUAUAUUUCUAUCAUCUAACUAUCUAGUCUAACUUUUUAGGAAUUUUAGGAAUUUUUAGAGUAAUGCACACAUCCCAUUCUUUCCUGAGAAAAAUAUUUGAAACAUACAUCUAAAAAACAAACAGAACAGAGGCUCUUGAAGAAAGUAGUAAAUAUGGUAUCUAUGGAUAUGGAUGAAGAUAAGGCUGAUAGUUUAUUUGUACAACUAUAAUGGCUGUUAAAAUAGCGAAACUCUGUACUGCUUGGUAUGUAGCUACAGAUCCAAUCCCUGAACUCUUCCCCAAAGAUCCCCUGGGCUAUCUCACAGUCUAGUAACUAAAGGCUUAAUGUCUGGACCAUUAGGAGGCCUCCACGUUUACAAAUUUAUUGCCCUAGAUGGGGCACCUGGGUGGCUCAGUCAGUUGGGUAUCGACCUCAGCUCAGGUCGUGAUCUCACGGUCCGGGAGUUCGAGCCCUGCAUCAGGCUCUGUGCUGAUGGCUCAGAGCCUGGAGCCUGCUUUGGAUUCUGUGUCUCUCCCUCUCUUUGCCCCUCCCCUGCUCAUGCUCUGUCUCAAAAAUAAAUAAAAACAUUAAAAAAAUUUUUAAAAAUAAAUUUAUUGUCCUAGAGCUAUAGAGCUGUAUACCACAUAAUUCUACUCUUCUGUGCUUCUUUAGAUAAGUAUUCUUUCUCAUUCUCUUUCUUUUUCUCCUCAAUCAGAUUCGGUAUGGGUUUAUGUAUUUUUUUCGGUCAUCUUAAAUAAACAGUGCUUGAAGAAUGUAAUUGGAAUUGGUUUGUGUGCUUGCCAACAGAGAUUCCUAAUUGAUAUGCCCAUCAUUUUAUCACCCAUAGAUGAGGCCCGCUGCUUGACUGAUUUAUCUGCUUCUAGAUAUAGAGACAGAUAAAUACAGACAUAGAGAUACCAACAAUAAAAGCACGUUUUCUAAUGUACAACCUACCUUUUGUGCUUCCUAAAAAACAUAGUUGAAGUUCAAUAAAUAUUAAAAUACACUACAAUCCUACCAAUACAGUGAUGCGAUUUAUGUCACUAGUCUUCUGUUCUUGAAUAUUUAAUUUACUACCAGUGUUUUGUUAUUGUAAUCACAGUGGUGAGCACACUUGUGCUCAUUUUAAAUUGUUUUCUUAGGGCCAUUUCUUACAAGUGGAAUUUCAGAGUCAACUAUACGCAUACUUUUAAAUUAUUUGAGACGCACAACCGAUUUUCUGCCAGAAGCCAGAAUCCUUGAUAAUUCAAUUAGCGGUGUCUUGAAAAUCAAGUUCCUAAGUUCCUCCAUCCAUUAGCAAACAAUCUGUCUACUAAUGGAUAAUAUUUUUUUUAUUUUGUCAAUUUUAAUCAGGUAAAAUAGUCUCACAGUACCUGAAUUUGCAUUUCUUGAGUUUGUAAGCCUUAAAAAGAUAUUCUGUAUUACCCAUUACUUUCCCGUUAUUUUGAAACGACCAUGUUCCAUAAACAAAAUUAUGUUUGCCAAUACAAACUUUCUAGACUUGUGCUGUGCCAUAAAGUAACCACUAAUCAGAAAUGGCUCUUGAAAAUUAAAUUAACUACAAUGAAAUAGAAUGAAAAACUCGCUUUCUUGGUUACAGUAGCCACAUUUUAAGUUCUCAAAAGCCCUAUGUGAAAAGGAGCCAAAAUGUUGGACUGAGCACCUAUCUAUUUUCAUCAUUGCAAGAAGUUAUGUUGGACCGUGCUGUUCUUGAAUUUGCAUUAUCCUUCUUAAAAUCAACGGAUUUUUAAAAUACUUUAAACAUUAAUGUAUCUAUUACAUUAAAAUCUUUUGAAUAAGACCCAUUUUAUUAAUGCCUUUUCUUCAGAGCCAUUUGGUAUCUAGAUAUGUAGAUUCGUCCUUACUUUUGAGUCGUAGUUUUUAAUGUGUCAUGUGAAUUCUUUAUAGCCUUAUUUAGAUAUACGUUAUAUAUUGUAAAAUGAACCAUUUGU